GUCGAACGGCAGCACAGAGGAGCUUGCUCCUUGGGUGGCGAGUGGCGGACGGGUGAGGAAUACGUCGGAAUCUGCCUAUUUGUGGGGGAUAACGUAGGGAAACUUACGCUAAUACCGCAUACGACCUACGGGUGAAAGUGGGGGACCUUCGGGCCUCACGCAGAUAGAUGAGCCGACGUCGGAUUAGCUAGUUGGCGGGGUAAAGGCCCACCAAGGCGACGAUCCGUAGCUGGUCUGAGAGGAUGAUCAGCCACACUGGAACUGAAACACGGUCCAGACUCCUACGGGAGGCAGCAGUGGGGAAUAUUGGACAAUGGGCGCAAGCCUGAUCCAGCCAUGCCGCGUGUGUGAAGAAGGCCUUCGGGUUGUAAAGCACUUUUGUCCGGAAAGAAAAGCUUAGGGUUAAUAACCCUGAGUCAUGACGGUACCGGAAGAAUAAGCACCGGCUAACUUCGUGCCAGCAGCCGCGGUAAUACGAAGGGUGCAAGCGUUACUCGGAAUUACUGGGCGUAAAGCGUGCGUAGGUGGUUUGUUAAGUCUGAUGUGAAAGCCCUGGGCUCAACCUGGGAAUGGCAUUGGAAACUGGCUUACUAGAGUGCGGUAGAGGGUAGUGGAAUUCCCGGUGUAGCAGUGAAAUGCGUAGAUAUCGGGAGGAACAUCUGUGGCGAAGGCGUCUACCUGGACCAGCACUGACACUGAGGCACGAAAGCGUGGGGAGCAAACAGGAUUAGAUAUCUUGGUAGUCCACGCCCUAAACGAUGCGAACUGGAUGUUGGGGGCAACUUGGCCCUCAGUAUC
rnacentral:rRNA from 1 species